ACUGGCUUUACGCGCGCAGUGCGGUGCUCGGCGGGCGCCGUUCCGCGGGGCCGGCCCGGCCGUGCGGGGCCGCCGCGGUGCCCGGGAGCGGCUUGGAAGCGCCAGGCGCGGGUCCCGGCCGCGGCAGCGGCGGGCGAGGGUUGUGGUGACAAUGGAGGAGGGCGGCUGUUGCUGUGGCUGCAGCGAGGUUGAAGGAGCACUCGUGAGAAGUUUCCCAUUUGGAAUUGGGCUCCUGAAGAAAGGAACCUGAAACUGCUGUUUCUGAUAAAUCCCCCAGGGAAAAGCUGGAGAAAAGGUGGAGAGAGUGGCAAGCGGGAAUCCCAUGUUUAGAUCUGCCCUUGGAUUCCAGUUCCUCCUGGGGGGUCUGUGCUGCCCAAAGAACAAAGGAAGGAGAUGUUGGAGUACCUGUUUGUUCCCCUCUUGAGCUUGGAAGAGAUGCUGAGGGUGAAAUUCCAGGGAAGCUGCGCUUGCAGAGCGACUGGAGUGCGAAGCAGUGGCAGCUGUUUGCCGUGGACCGGUUUCCCCCCUUCACUUCGGUUCCCUGGUAUAACAGCUGGGGAUGGGGUCAGCGGCUCUGACCCAGGAAGAGGUGACCGGUCCGGGGAGAUGGUCCCGAAAGGAAUCGCCUUCCCGAGGGCCGGUGUCU